rnacentral:snRNA from 1 species
ACACUUACCCAGCAGGGGAGACGCUGUGAGGCUGAAGCUGGCUUUCCCGGGGCAAGGCCUCUCCGUGGCCCUCCGGGUGAGUGGAGCCCUGCGAUUUCCCCAAACGCAGGAAGCUCCGCUGCGUCAUUUGUGGUGGGAGGGAACGCAUCCCAC